rnacentral:rRNA from 1 species
UCCGGUGACAACGGCCAAGAGGUCCCACCCGUUCCCAUGCCGAACACGGAAGUUAAGCUCUUGUGCGCCGAUGAUAAUUGGGGGGCGACCCCCUGUGAAAGUAGGACGUUGCCGGGC